GGGCGUAUGGUGAAAUGGUAUCACGCUCGGCUGUAGACCGACAGUUCUUGGUUCGAAUCCUUGUGCGCCCA
rnacentral:tRNA from 1 species